rnacentral:tRNA from 1 species
GGUGAGGUGGAUGAGUGGCUGAAAUCAACGGUUUGCUAAACCGUCGUACGGGUCAAACCGUACCGGGGUUCGAAUCCCCCUCACCG